GCACGUAGUUAGCCGGGACUUCUUCUGCAGGUACCGUCAGUUUCCCUUCGUCCCUGCCGAAAGGGGUUUACAACCCGAAGGCCUUCAUCCCCCACGCGGCGUCGCUGCGUCACGCUUUCGCGCAUUAGCGCAAGAUCCCCCACUGCUGCCUCCCGUAGGAGUCUGGGCCGUGUCUCAGUCCCAGUGUGGCUGGCCGUCCUCUCAGACCAGCUACCCGUCGUCGCCUUGGUGGGCCGUUACCCCACCAACAAGCUGAUAGGCCGCGGGCCCAUCCCGGACCGUCGGAGCUUUCCCGGCGCGACCAUGCGAUUGCGCCGGAGUAUCCGGUAUUAGCUCAGGUUUCCCUGGGUUAUCCCGGUGUCCGGGGCAGGUUGCCCACGUGUUACUCACCCGUUCGCCGCUCUCCCCUCGGAAGGGUUACCCCUCCUGAGGUUCCCGCUCGACUUGCAUGUGUUAGGCACGCCGCCAGCGUUCGUC
rnacentral:rRNA from 1 species